CGAUGAUGCAUAGCCCGAGUUGAGAGACUGAUCGGGCCACAUUGGGGACUGAGACACGGGCCCAAACUCCUACGGGAGGCAGCAGUAGGGAAUCUUCCACAAUGGACGAAAGUCUGAUGGAGCAAACGCCGCGUGAGUGAAGAAGGUUUUCGGAUCGUAAAGCUCUGUUGUUGGUGAAGAAGGAUAGAGGUAGUAACUGGCCCUUUUAUUUGACGGUAAUCAACCAGAAAGUCACGGGCUAACUACGUGCCAGCAGCCGCGGUAAAU
rnacentral:rRNA from 1 species